CGUUUAAUGAACAACCUGCUAAACUUCUCCAAACCCAAAAUUCCUUUUGAGGACAAAUUUCCCAUUAAACCACCCCUGCCAACUAUCUGCCGCUUCAUCAUCUCUUCAUCCCGCCUUCAUCAUCAAUUCUCAAUUAAGUCCCCCAUCUACCACACAUACAAUCUACCAGCUUCAAUUAAUCGCCCCCAAUUAAACGAGUCGUCCAACAUUCAAUUUGUGUAGUAGAUGGAACUGCUGUAAAUAAAUGUAACCUCCCUCCCUGCCUUCAAUCCUCCAACUACCUUACAUUGCAUCUGCACCCUUAUAUAUCUACCAGUUGCCUGCCGAUGAUAUACCCACUCCCCAUCUCUGUUUAUUAUAAGGAAUUCUUAACAGUUAAGAGACAUCAAGCAGAUUCUUAACACUUGCUCUUGCUGUCGGUAGGAUCGAUAUCCAAUAAUGCUGAUGCUUUAGCUGACCUGCUUGAAGCAGUAAAGAGUAUGGAGCUGCACUCUACAAUGAUAUGGAGAUGCACUCUACAAUGAAAGGCAUACAACUUUUUAAGACACCAACAUAUGGUACAAGUGGACUAUACUACUUUCAUAAAAAAAAAGAUUUGGCAAAGGUUAAACGCGGCCCUUCGUUCAUGGAAGGACUCCCACAGAAAUAGAGCUCGACGCUUUCCAUGUCGUCCUUAUUACGGGAAUAUAUGUUUAUCCGGGGGCCCAUUAGUUAUAAGUGUUCAAAUAAAAAAAACACAUGGAGAAGAUUGGGGUAACAAGGGAUGUAGUUAGGUCAAUCCGAAUGUCUUCAUAGAUAUUGGUGUACCUGAUAUGCGGUCUUGUGAUACCGUGAAAAAAAGGAGAAAAAGAUACGGGGACCUCACAAGGUAUUGUUCAAACCGCCAAAAAGAAUUGCAAGGUCGCGAGAAAGGGCAGAGCCGAACACAAGUUUUCUUCAGCGUUUGUAGCUCGUUGUAAUGGCGAAUAUUGUGUAAGUAUAUUCAAAUUGGGCCUCCGACCCUUUAAGUGUGUGCACAAAUAACGGCUCACCAACCAUAUUCCCUAAUAAAGUGAGGGAGAUUUCCAUUGCUCACCACUAUACAGAAGUAUGGGACCAAGAGUACUAGCCCUACUGUUGUUUCUACUGUUGUUCCUAUGUAGGGGCACAUCUCAUGACUAACAUAUAUCGCUAACUUGGUUAUGAUAAGUUAGUUAUAUCGCCACGGGAGUUGGUAAAUUAUGGGUGUCACUUGAUAGUGCAAGUAAGUAGAUGUCUUGCAAAGGGGUUGUAUGAUUCAUAUAAUCAACAAUUCUUAAGGAUGGCUAACAUGACACCCACACAAAUACCCAAAGAAAAGUUACAAAAUUGGCGGUCGUAGACAAUAUCGUAAUCCUAUAACGAUUGUAAACGCUCUUGUGGGAAACUUUUCUAGAAACGCAGAUGUCAUUACCCCGUUUUUGGUGUUAUCCAUACAUUUUAUUUAGACUCAGAUUUAGCAAAGGAAGCAACAAAAACGGAACCCUUUGCUCAUGACAAAAUAUAUAUCAUCAGCUUGGUUAUAAAACAUUAGUUAUAUCACCUCAGGAGUUGGUAACUUAUGGGUGUUUCACAAUGGAAGAUAUAUAAAGAUGUUCUGUGAAGGGGGUGCAUGAUUCAAAUUAUCAACAAUUCCUAAAAAUGCGUAAUAUGACACCCAAACAAAUAUCCGGAGAAUGGUAUAAAAUUCACGGCUUUAUAAAGUAUGAUGAUUCUACAACAUUUGCAAAAGCUUUUGUGGAUAACUUUUUCUAGAAAAGCAGUUGUCCUAUACCUCGUUUUUGGCCUUAUCUGUAUGUAUGAUUUCGACUCGGGUUUGGCAAGGUUAAACGCGACCCUUUGUUCAUGAAAGGACUCCCAAAGAAGAAGAGCUCGACGCCCUCCAUGCCGUCCUUAUUACGGGCGUAUAUGUUUUAUCAGGGGACCCGCUAGUUUUAAGUGUUGAAAUAAAAAAUUCACACGGGGUAGAUUGGGGUAACAAGGGAUAUAGUUGGGUCAAUCCUAAAGUCUUUAUAGAUAUUGGUGUACCUUAUAUGGUGUAUUGUGAUACCACGAAAAAAAGGGAGAAUGGUUGUGAAUAUAAGUUCAUCUUCUUCAUCUUCUCCCCCUGCAACUGUCUGAUCGACAACGGUUGUGAAUUGAUGAGUAGUAAGAGCCUAGUUUGAACAAUUCGAUCAGUAGUCAGAUCCUAAUGUAACGCCCAGCGUCCCUAAACUUUAGGAUCUUGCCAAGAUUAGUCCUUGAAGUUUGGACUAUUGACAUUUUUGGUCCCUAUUGUAUAAUAUAUUGAUACUUUGGUUG